rnacentral:rRNA from 1 species
AACGAACGCUGGCGGCAUGCCUAACACAUGCAAGUCGAACGAGACCUUCGGGUCUAGUGGCGCACGGGUGCGUAACGCGUGGGAAUCUACCCUCAGGUUCGGAAUAACUCAGAGAAAUUUGAGCUAAUACCGGAUGAUGACGUAAGUCCAAAGAUUUAUCGCCUGAGGAUGAGCCCGCUUAGGAUUAGGUAGUUGGUGAGGUAAAGGGUCACCAAGCCGACGAUCCUUAGCUGGUCUGAGAGGAUGAUCAGCCACACUGGGACUGAGACACGGCCCAGACUCCUACGGGAGGCAGCAGUGGGGAAUAUUGGACAAUGGGCGAAAGCCUGAUCCAGCAAUGCCGCGUGGGUGAUGAAGGCCUUAGGGUUGUAAAGCUCUUUUACCCGGGAUGAUAAUGACAGUACCAGGAGAAUAAGCUCCGGCUAACUCCGUG